rnacentral:rRNA from 1 species
UCAUCAUGCCCCUUAUGACCUGGCUACACACGUGCUACAAUGGCUGGUACAACGAGUCGCGAGUCGGUGACGGCAAGCUAAUCUCUUAAAGCCAGUCUCAGUUCGGAUUGUAGGCUGCAACUCGCCUACAUGAAGUCGGAAUCGCUAGUAAUCGCGGAUCAGCACGCCGCGGUGAAUACGUUCCCGGGCCUUGUACACACCGCCCGUCACACCACGAGAGUUUGUAACACCCGAAGUCGGUGAGGUAACCAUUUGGAGCCAGCCGCCUAAGGUGGGAUAGAUGAUUGGGGUGAAGUCGUAACAAGGUAGCCGUAUCGGAA